UGACGUCAAAGGUAUAAAUACCGUGUAGGAUCUAUAAUCGUAUCUUAAUUUAAAGAGAAUGUCUGUCUCUGAAAGUAUGUUUUUAAGAAAUUAAUAAAUAAGCUUUAGUAACGUAUAUUUAUAGAGUCUUUGGCAGGUUUUAACGAUUGAACGCUAAAAUAGUACACGAAUUACAAGCAUCUAAUGUGAUUCGUUGCCGCCAAACGUUUCAAUGAUUGACAGUUCGUUUGGUGAAACGAUGAGUGAGUUGGAGCUUGAAAACAGUGGUACUUGUAGUAGUGGUGCUCUGAUGCCGCCUCAAGAUACAGAGAGACCAUCUCUUAAGAAGAUGAUUGAUGAAAUGAAGCCUUGCUCAGUUAUACUGGAGAAAUUGAGCGAAGAUGUUAUAAAUUACCAUCUGUCACGAAUAGACUUAAAUUUUUCAAAGCAAGAACGUGCCAAAAAGAAAUUUGCCAAACACAAGUUACAACAUAUGUCCAAAAUAAAUUAUCAUUUGUUUGAAAGGUAUAGGGAUACAAGACAAAAAUUUAUUAACAAAGAGAGAAGGAAAUCAGAAGAUUAUGCGGAUGAAGAUUUUGAUCCUGAAAGAUAUUUCUCAGAUGAUAGAUGUAAAAAGAAAAGAUCCAGAAGAAAGCCUGCUUAUGAAGAUGAUUAUGACUGGGAUCCUUCUGCAGCUAGAGAUAAAUACGGAAAUAAAGCUAAUAGAUCUACAUAUUCUCCUAAGAGACUAAGGCGAAUUAUGAAAAGACCAAUUUCUGAAAGUGAAUCAAGUUCAAGUGAUUUUUUUGAUUAUUUUCUGGAAGAAGAAAGAGACUUCAAUGAAAAUGAACCAAGUGCCUCUAGAAGCGCAGGUGUUUCAGUUGGUGAUAUUUCACAAUCAAUUAAGAACACACAAAUUACCAAUGCUACUAAAGACAUGGAUGGUGACCAGACUGAUUUUAAUACAUCCAAAGUCCUACCACAAGCAAUAUCAGAUUCUAGUUCCUUAAAUCUUACUUCUGAAUCUUCUAAAAAUAAUGAUAUAAUAUCUAAAAUUAUCAAAGACAUGGAUAAUCUUAAAAGCACGAAAAAUGUAAAUAAAAUAUGCCAACAUCCCAAUGCAUCUAUAUCAAACAAAGGGAAGCUACAUGAAAAUGUAGUUCUAAGGCCCACAGGUCAAAUGAGGAAGAGGUCAAAAAUGCGUAAUCCAGAUGUUCGUGUUGUGCGGGCUAUUAUUAAUAACAUGGUUAACUCUGUGUGUUCAGCUGAAAACAAACGCCUUAAAAAUAUUGUGAAUAAUAAUAAUAAGAAGAAGAAGUGUAGGUGGUGUGCAGCUCUAUUUACUUCUAGUAAUAAAAAUGAUGUUUAUUGUUUAAUAUGUAAAGAUAGGAAAAUUGGUUUUAUUGGUAAAUCAGUGUACAAAAUGCAAAAUAAAUCAAAGCCAAAUGAGAAAAACUUGGGUACAGCUAAGGCUACAAAUUCUAAAAAUAAAAUGAUGGAUAAAUUACGGAAAAAUAUGCCAAAAUAUGAAAUACAAAGAUUAAUGUAUGCUGAUAAAACUGAUAAAGCAGCAGUUGAAAAAGGUUAUAAUCAUUGUAAGAGCUUUAAUACUUCUAAAGAUGGAAAUGGUGGUAUAGCUACAUUUUCAAACCCAUGUACAUUCUCUCAAGAACAGCAAAGUGACAAAAUAUCUAAUAAGGGAAAUACUCAAAAGAAAAAGAAUCAACCAAACAUUCUAGUAAAUGCAACUGCCACCUCAGGAAAAAAUACCCUAAAAAAAUCUAAUCCAUCCAAGGCAAAGAAAGUUUCCAAAGGCUCUCCUACACUUAUCUUAAGUAGUAAAUCUAAAAAAAUAAAUGAAAGUAAAAAAAUAAAUGCAAACAAAGUUUGUGUGACAAAUGUUGACAAGGGACUGUUUCUGAUGACCUUUCCAGAGCCUGAUAAAGAACUUGAUGUUAAUGUUCUUAAAGAGUCCACAUUGGAAAAUGCAAAUAAUGUAAACAGAAGCACUGUGAUUAAAAUGGCCACAGAUAAAAUAGAAUCAAAGAAAGACUUAUCUUCUAAUAUGAAAAAUAUUCAGCCACCCGGAACAACAUUAAAAAAUUUACCAUUUGGGACAUAUUUACUGCCACCUGUACCUACAGUUGUUGUUGCUAAUUAUGCAGCUACUGAUGACAGUAAUGGGGAUUUUUAUUUGUCUAGUGUAUAUUACCAGAAUGAAAUGACUCAACAAAAAGGAGCAAUUGUAGACAGUGUUGUGGUUAGAAAUGAAAAUCUGAACAAUAGCAUUGUGCAGACUUCUCUUGCCCCUAGUAUGCCUUCAGGUACAGAUUUAAUUAACAUGAGCAAUGCUUCUAUUUUCCCUGCUAGUCAGAGUAACAUUCUGAUGCCUGUAGCUUCAUUACCAGAUGGAAGUUUUAUAAAAACUGUCGACAUGGUAUCAAAUUCAGGUAUCAAAAGUUCAGAAUUGGCUCGACAUUUAACUCUGCCAGUUCCAGGUUUAAAUCAGAUAGCUCAUUCUAAUGAUUCUUUUUCUUCAGAUGUUGUAAGUAAUGAAAACUGCCAUACAUCUGAAACUGAAAACUGCUUCAGCUCUGAAAAUCAGUUUAUCCCAAAUGUUCCUAAUAUGAAUUCUGAAAUGUCAUUGUUUGAAAUGAAUUCUGAAAGCAUAGCUCAGGAACGAGAAUCUACAAAGGAACAAUUAACUAACAAUUUUGAUCCAAGUAACACAAAUCCUUAUGCAGUGUUGGAUACUUCUGCUUCAAACUCAAAUAUUCAUGAAAAUUUAAAUAUGACUAGUAAUGCAGAUAAAGAUACUUCUAGCAAAAUUGGCCUUCCAGAAGGAAAUUCUAGUGUAUCAGAACUAGAUGAAAUGUCUCUGAAUUCUGAUACUUCUGGUAUAAAUGCUAAUUCAUCUGAAAAUCUUUUAACUGAAGCAUAUCAGGAAAUUGAAGCUAUAUCUAUUUUGGGUGUCGUAGACUUGGAUAAAAAUCCUCAUGUUAUGCUUGCAUAUAGAAUAGAAGUGGUAAAAAAACAAUAUGAACAGCUUAAAAAUCAAAAAGAUAAAGUUGUAGAUGAGAGACUUGGUGAUAUUCAUUCUCAAUAUGCGAGCCUACUUAAGGCAAAAGAACUUUUAAAUAAAUUUCGCUCAUUUGCUAGAGUUUCUGAAUAUUAUUUAAGAAAAGAAAAGUUCAUACAAAUUAAGAAAGAAAAAAUGAUGGAAGAAGAUAAUGAGAGACCUGCCUGCCAGUAUUCAAAAAAUUCUGCUUCAAAUGAAUUGGCAAAUUUUGUGGGUGAAGAAUCUGUUUCAUCAGCAAGUGGGAAAACUGACCAAAUUAAUAAAUCAUAUUCACUUGCAAAUGAUGCAUCAUCUGUUAAUCAUAUAGAAAAAAUUCAGUUUCAGAUUGCUGCUAUAAAUGAAACUUCAUCUCCAAGUGACCAUGUUCCUGGUAGUGUUAUGCAUCAUUUUCCAGCUCCCAGUAAUUCUUCUGUAGUUACUGUAUCCACACCAGUUACACCAGGGAAUGAACUAGGAAAUGAAGCUAGAGAAACUCCUUCAAGAGGCAGUGGACCUAGAACACCAGCUAGGCCAGAGAGUGCAACCUCACAAUUAGAAGAAAAUAUCUUAACACCUGCACAGGUCAAGAGGGAGAGAUUAGAAGCUGUAACAUCACCAUUUUCACAGUGUGCUUAUUCUGUUAGCUCUCCUUCCCCUCAUUUAACAAUUCCUUCUCCUAAUGUGCCACAAGUUACCAGUCCAUUAGCAAACAUGAUGCCUGUGAACUCAAAUGUUUCUCUAACUGUAAGUAACAAUAAUUCGCCACAGUUUCAGAAUACGACUUAUUCUCAAAAUAAGGAUAUUCCACCUAAUAGAACAGUUCCUUUUAACACCAAUCAAAAUUUAUCAAAAGUUUUACUGAAUCUAGCAGCACAUCAGCAACAGAUUCAAAACACAAAUCCAAAUAUGAAUAUAAAUAAUCCACAAAACAAUGUGCUUUUUAAUAAUGGAAAAGUAAUAAAUGUGCAACAAAUAUAUCUUCCUGGAGGAGCAAAACGUACACAAAAAUUAAAUGUUCAACCUGUGCCUUCAGUUUCAAAUACAAAUCAAUACAUCCUCAGACAGCCAUCUGUGAAUACUGCAAAUACAAAUGGCGGAACUGUACUUGUGAAUAAUCAUGUUGCGUCACAGAAAGUCUGGCAUAGGAAUGAAGCUAACCCACAAGUCUUUGCUCCACAACAGGUUUCUCAGGUCUAUAAUACACCGCCUACGCAAAUGACUGUCAGUGCAUCCCAUCAACAAAGUUCAUCACCUGCAUUUGCUGUGCAAAAUAAGACAUUCCUUUCAUCCUUGUGAAGCUCAUCUCUUCAUCAGAAUCCACACUGGAAAAAGGUUGUCAACAAAAAUUUUGAGUCUGCUGAUGAAUCUACUGAUCAGAUGUUUUGUGCUGUUUGCAAUAAUAUUGCUACACUUCGAUGCAAGCAGUGUGCCAAAGUUGCUUACUGCAAUACUGCAUGUGCUAGAACAUACUGGCACCAAAAGCACAAG
rnacentral:misc_RNA from 1 species